rnacentral:rRNA from 1 species
AUGGGCAAACUCUGUAAUAUUCUUAUAGGAGAACAUUCAACAUCCUUUACUGCUUCUAAUCCAUUCAGUUCCAUUAUAAAAGGUAUCGCUGGUAUCUCGUAUGGGUGUUGGGAGCAUCACAGGACUGCUGACAUGCAAUUCUUUAAGAAGUUGAGCAAAAGAUACCAACGCAGUCAUUUUCUAUUGCAAAAGCAAGACCAAGAAGCUGCAGCUGUUUGCGCUUGUGACACGCAGCUGAAGCGUCUCGCCAAGUUGCCAAGGACGCACAACAGGAGUAAUUUAGCAUGCCUAGCAGAUGAAAUUUAG